UACGGGGGGGCAAGCGUUGUUCGGAAUUACUGGGUCGGUAAAGGGCUCGUAGGCGGCCCAACUAAGUCAAGACGUGGAAAUCCCCAGGCUCAACCCUGGGAACUGCGUCUGGAUACUGGGAUGGCUUGAAUCCGGGAAGAGGGAUGCAGAAUUCCGAAGGUGUAGCGGUGAAAUGCGUAGACUAUCUGGAGGAACACCGGUGGCGAAGGCCGGCAUCCUGGACCGGUAUUGACGCUGAGGCGCGAAAGCUAGGGGAGCAACGGG
rnacentral:rRNA from 1 species